rnacentral:lncRNA from 1 species
UCUAUAAUAGUAUUCUUUAUGUUGUUUGAGAUAAAAUUCUCUUAAUUGAAAAUGACAUCCCUAUAUUAUAGAAAAUAAAAGCUUGAUUGCCAUCUCUGUUCUCCAUAAAAGUUUGGAAGGUUAUUAGAAUCAUCUUUAAGUAUUUAUGAAAUACUAAUGAUCAAUAGCUCGUUUAUGAAGAAUCUAACUUAAAACCUGUGGAAUAUUGAUUUCAGUUUCUGGUC